rnacentral:rRNA from 1 species
GACGAACGCUGGCGGCGUGCCUAAUACAUGCAAGUCGAACGCUUCUUUCCUCCCGAGUGCUUGCACUCAAUUGGAAAGAGGAGUGGCGGACGGGUGAGUAACACGUGGGUAACCUACCCAUCAGAGGGGGAUAACAGGGGGAAACAGGGGCUAAUACCGCAUAACAGUUUAUGCAGCAUGGCAUAAGAGUGAAAGGCGCUUUCGGGUGUCGCUGAUGGAUGGACCCGCGGUGCAUUAGCGAGUUGGUGAGGUAACGGCUCACCCAGGCCACGAUGCAUAGCCGACCUGGGAGGGUGAUCGGCCACACUGGGACUGAGACCCGGCCCAGACUCCUACGGGAGGCAGCAGUAGGGAAUCUUCGGCAAUGGACGAAAGUCUGACCGAGCAACGCCGCGUGAGUGAAGAAGGUUUUCGGAUCGUAAAACUCUGUUGUUAGAGAAGAACAAGGACGUUAGUAACUGAACGUCCCCUGACGGUAUCUAACCAGAAAGCCACGGCUAACUACGUG